rnacentral:tRNA from 1 species
GACCGCGUAGCUCAGUUGGCAGAGCAUUGGACUAGUUUUCCAAAGGUCGUAGGUUCGAUUCCCACCGUGUCCA